rnacentral:rRNA from 1 species
CAGCUUGUUGGUGGGGUGAUGGCCUACCAAGGCGACGACGGGUAGCCGGCCUGAGAGGGUGUCCGGCCACACUGGGACUGAGAUACGGCCCAGACUCCUACGGGAGGCAGCAGUGGGGAAUAUUGCACAAUGGGCGCAAGCCUGAUGCAGCGACGCCGCGUGAGGGAUGACGGCCUUCGGGUUGUAAACCUCUUUCAACAGGGACGAAGCGUAAGUGACGGUACCUGUAGAAGAAGCACCGGCCAACUACGUGCCAGCAGCCGCGGUAAUACGUAGGGUGCGAGCGUUGUCCGGAAUUACUGGGCGUAAAGAGCUCGUAGGUGGUUUGUCGCGUUGUUCGUGAAAACUCACAGCUUAACUGUGGGCGUGCGGGCGAUACGGGCAGACUGGAGUACUGCAGGGGAGACUGGAAUUCCUGGUGUAGCGGUGGAAUGCGCAGAUAUCAGGAGGAACACCGGUGGCGAAGGCGGGUCUCUGGGCAGUAACUGACGCUGAG